UCCGUAGGCGGGCAAUUAAGUCAGAGGUGAAAUCCCACAGCUCAACUGUGGAACUGCCUUUGAUACUGGUUGUCUUGAGUUAUAGUGAAGUAGAUAGAAUAUUUAGUGUAGCGGUGAAAUGCAUAGAUAUUACAUAGAAUACCGAUUGCGAAGGCAGUCUACUAACUGUAUACUGACGCUAAUGGACGAAAGCGUGGGGAGCGAACAGGAUUAGAUACCCUGGUAGUCC
rnacentral:rRNA from 1 species